GGUUUUAAUUGUAUAAGACUUGCAGCAUUCUUUCUCUUCCCCAGUCCACACCCCUGAUCAUCGAUCCUCUCCUCCUCAUGGAGAUCGAUUUCAGAAAUCCCAAAAAUUCCCUAAAUCAAAAAUGUCCUCCGGGAUUGGGAUAUCCUUUCCUGGUCCAUCAUCUUCUACCUACCACGUUCGCAUUGGCAAGAAAAUCAACCAUUUCAUUAACACAAGCUAUCCCAAAACAGAAAAAUUUAGGAAAAGAAAAAAGAGUCUGAGGUUUUGUUUUACUACCAAAACGAGCUCCUCUUCAUCUUUAUGACUCAGAGAGAAAUUUCCUAGAACCCAAAGAGAAAUUGAUUGCUUUGGUUAAUCAUUAAGAGAUCCACUCACUCUCUCUCCUCUCAACUAGAAAUUGAUUUAGGGUUUCAAUCUCACCACAAUCAUAAAGAGUUUUCUAUCUGUUUGUUUGUGGUUCAAGGAAGGAGGUGUUAUUUUCUUCAGAAAUCUUGAUAAUUUGAGUUGAAACCAAACAGCAAUGGAGCUCUUUACUACAACAAAAAACCUCAAAUUCUUGGAUGCAAAUCAAAUCAUCGGCGAAGCAGUGAAAAUCCCAGCAAAAUCACCUUCAUUAAAUUUCAUUUUGAUUACCCUAAUCUUCAUUCUCCCACUUGCAUUGACUCAAUUGUUGUUUCAAGGUUCAUUCCUCAACAUUUGUAUUACCCUUUAUUGUUACUUUUGCGGUAAAUCAUCAUCUCCUUCGUAGAUCUUCUACUUUCUUUCUCUCUUCCUCUUCUCUCUUUUCUCUACCUCUGCUAUUGCUUUCACAGUAGCUUCUCUGUAUGCAUCCAAAUACAUCUCCUUUGUCUCCACUCUCUUUGCAAUUCCUCGCAUAUCUAAACAUCUUAUAAUCACCUUCUUUUACUCCUUACUUCUCAUAAUCAUCAACUUCUUCGCCUUCUUCAUUCCUGCAUCUGACUUAGGAGAUUUGUUAAAUAUUAAUGAAGGAGCUCUGAGGUGGGAUUUUAUUAUCAUAUUUGCUAUCAUGUACCAUCUUGUUAAUUUGUAUGUCGCAGCUUUAUGGCAUUUAUCCAGUGUAGUCUCCGUUCUUGAACCAAAUUUGUAUGGCUUGGCAGCCAUGAAGAAGAGUAAGCAACUCUUACAAGGGAAAACUAUAAUUGCUAUGGAACUUGUGAAUUUAUGCUUUACGGCUACAUGGGUUAUAGGAUUGUUGUUAGGGUAUGCGAUGCAGUUUCCUAUACAUUUCAUGGUUAACAUUUUGUUGGGAUCGCUGUGUUUGUUCAUGUUGGUGGCAGUUAAUCUCACGGGGCUAUUAGUUCAGAGUGUAUUCUUCUUUGCGUGCACAAGGAAGUGGUUGAUAAGAAUGUUUUGUAUGAUCAUCUUUGUGGGUAUGAUCACAACAGAUUGGGUUACAAGUCUGUAGCAUUGAAUCCUCCUAGUACUGGAAGUUUGAAGAUGCACAAAGAUCACGGCAGAGUGGGUUAUCAAUCUGUUGAAGUGAGUGGUAAUACGGACUGCACUAUCAUGAUGCAGGGCAGAGGGGGUUAUCAAUCGGUUGAAGUGAAUGGUAAUACCGACUCUAUUAUCAGGAUGCUGGGCAGAGGGGGUUAUCAAUCUGUUGAAGUGAAUGGUAAUACUGACUCUACUAUCAGGAUGCAGAUAUCGACUGAAGUAUGACACAAUGGGAUACCAGAAUGUAAGGACCUAAAACCACUCAUCUUUAAUGUACUUUCUGAUUUCCAGUAAUGUAGUGUAGCUUGCAGACUAUGGAAGGGUUAGAUAUCUCUAGCGGUAAUUGUUUGUGUACCUGGACUGGUAUUUUAAUGAAACUAUCCUACUAAUUAUGCA